AUACAGUGGAGACCAGAAACCACUAAAAUAAACGGGGAGUAAUUUGAAAAUCCUUAAGGGUUGAAUUAAU
rfam:Flavobacteriaceae bacterium CG1_02_35_72 cg1_0.2_scaffold_1701_c, whole genome shotgun sequence.